UACGAAGGGGGGCUAGCGUUGUUCGGAAUUACUGGGCGUAAAGGGCGCGCAGGCGGUCCUUCAAGUCAGAUGUGAAAGCCCCGGGCUCAACCUGGGAACUGCAUUUGAGACUGAAGGACUAGAGUUCGGGAGAGGAUGGUGGAAUUCCCAGUGUAGAGGUGAAAUUCGUAGAUAUUGGGAAGAACACCGGUGGCGAAGGCGGCCAUCUGGACCGAGUACUGACGCUGAGGCGCGAAAGCGUGGGGAGCAAACAGG
rnacentral:rRNA from 1 species